rnacentral:lncRNA from 1 species
AUGGGCAUUUUAAAGUUACCGGAGAAACCGAAAGUUGUGUGUGGGUUCCAAGUUCCUACACAGCUCAAAAAUAUCCUUCCCUGCAGCACGCUCGUGCAGGCAGCGAGCGGCAUCCCCCAUGCGCGGGGAGCUGCUGGGAAAAGCGGCGUGGGGGUCCUGCCCUGCUGCCUCUGCCUCCUUGAAGCUCCAAAGCAAAGCCCGAAACCCGCAGCAGACCACGGCCAGAAAAGCACCCUGGGGAUGGGGAUCUCCCUGUGUGCACACCCGCUGCCUGCGGCACGAGGGCACCCGACUGCGCCGGCCACGGAGAGGCUGGGCUCCACCGUGGGCCCCGAAAGCAAAGGGGGAAGCUGCUGCCCUAUUUCCCAGCUGCUGGCACCCUACAACGGGAUGGGUCUCAGCCGGAUCCGUGGAGAGCACAUGGGGAAGGAGGGGAGCCACGGCUCCAGCCCAGCCACAUGAUUCAAUUAGCCCUGGAGGGACGGCACGGCAGAGCAGAGGCCGCAGAGCGGGACCCAGCCCGGGCUCCAGCAGCCAAAGUUGGGUGAGAGGAGCACGGUGAGGAGCCCCGGGGCUGCUCCUGCAGGGCCAGAACCCGAUGCUCAUCCCUGUGCCUGCCGAAGGUAGCCUAAAGAUGCUUUAAAAAGAGAAGUGAAGCAAGUGUGCAGUUAUUCUCCCCAUCCCAGUUACUUGGGGUCAUCCACAUGUCCUGUGUCCUUGUGAGCUCCCCCACACCAUGCUCUGACCAGCACAAAGAGCUCCCAGAGCCGCAGGGAAGGCCAGGUCCCACAGGCUUCCUAACAGCCCUUCUCCAGCCUCCUGGCCCAGGUUUCCGUUCACGAUGUACUUUGGCAGCUGCUCACCCCCUGAAAAUGUCAGCGAAGGCAGUAAUUAGUUCCCAGCGCAAGUUCUGGGGUUAGAGGCCAGCUUACCCUGCCCCGCUGGGAUGCCUGCAGCCCCCAAACCUGAGCGUUUCCACUUUCCUUCCAGGUUACCACAACUCCUCACCUGCCCAAACCCCACCACCUCCCCAGGGACAAAACCUCUGCCCAGUUUUCUGGUUUGAUGCAUGCUGGGAUGAGCAAAUGCCCUCAUCCUGGCUGUGCUGAGCAGGGUUGUACUGGGCAGAGCUUCCCACUGAGCACCCCGAGCCCAAGGUGCCUCCUCCAACAACCCACCACGGACUGGGGACGCCUGGCACCCUGAGAGCUGCCUCUCUCUCACUUUGGGUGAAAAACGGGGCUUUUAAGAGCUAGGAAAGAGGAGCUGGUCCCCAAAAAUCACAGUGGCACUUGCAAAUCAAU